rnacentral:tRNA from 1 species
GCUCCGUUAGCUCAAUGGUAAAGCGUGUCCAUAUCUUAUGGCAAGAUACUGGUUCAAAUCCAGUACGGAGCA